AGUGAACGCUGGCGGUAGGCCUAACACAUGCAAGUCGAACGGCAGCACAGUAAGAGCUUGCCCUUACGGGUGGCGAGUGGCGGACGGGUGAGGAAUACAUCGGAAUCUACUUUUUCGUGGGGGAUAACGUAGGGAAACUUACGCUAAUACCGCAUACGACCUACGGGUGAAAGCAGGGGAUCUUCGGACCUUGCGCGAUUGAAUGAGCCGAUGUCGGAUUAGCUAGUUGGCGGGGUAAAGGCCCACCAAGGCGACGAUCCGUAGCUGGUCUGAGAGGAUGAUCAGCCACACUGGAACUGAGACACGGUCCAGACUCCUACGGGAGGCAGCAGUGGGGAAUAUUGGACAAUGGGCGCAAGCCUGAUCCAGCCAUACCACGUGGGUGAAGAAGGCCUUCGGGUUGUAAAGCCCUUUUGUUGGGAAAGAAAAGCAGCAGGUUAAUACCCCGCUGUUCUGACGGUACCCAAAGAAUAAGCACCGGCUAACUUCGUG
rnacentral:rRNA from 1 species